rfam:Felis catus isolate Cinnamon breed Abyssinian chromosome E1, whole genome shotgun sequence.
GCCUGGGUGGCUCAGUUGGUUGAGCGUCCGACUUCGGCUCAGGUCAUGAUCUCGCGGUCUGUGGGUUCGAGCCCCGCGCUGGGCU